UACGAAGGAUCCAAGCGUUGUCCGGAUUUACUGGGUUUAAAGGGAGCGUAGGCGGAUCUUUAAGUCAGUGGUGAAAGCUCUCAGCUUAACUGGGAAACUGCCAUUGAAACUGAAGAUCUCGAGUAUGGUUGAGGUUACUUGAAUGUUGCAUGUAGCGGUGAAAUGCUUAGAUAUGCAACAGAACACCAAUUGCGAAGGCAGGUAACUAAGCCAUAACUGACGCUGAGGCUCGAAAGCGUGGGGAGCAAACGGG
rnacentral:rRNA from 1 species